GAUGAGCGCUAGCGAUAGGCUUAACACAUGCAAGUCGAGGGGCAGCACAAGGUAGCUUGCUAUCUGGGUGGCGACCGGCGCACGGGUGCGUAACGCGUAUGCAACUUGCCCUAUACAGGAGGAUAACCCGUCGAAAGACGGACUAAUACUGCGUAUGCUCACAACUUGGCAUCAAGUGGUGAGGAAAGAAAUUCGGUAUAGGAUAGGCGUGCGUCCCAUUAGCUUGUUGGUGAGGUAACGGCUCACCAAGGCAACGAUGGGUAGGGGAACUGAGAGGUUUUACCCCCCACCGUGUAAUGAAGACCGGACCAGACCCCCCCCGGGGGCCGCAGGGGGGGAAAUUGGGCAAAGGGGGCGGGCCUUAACCCGCCAAGUGCCGGGAAGGAUGACUGUUUUUUGGGUUGUAAACUUUUUUUUAACGGGAAAAACAAGGGUCACGGGGGACCCCCCGGAUGGACCGUAAGAAAAGGCCCCGGCUAACCCCG
rnacentral:rRNA from 1 species